rnacentral:rRNA from 1 species
AUGAACGCUGGCGGCGUGCCUAAUACCUGCAAGUCGAGCGCACAGACGAGGAGCUUGCUCCUCUGACGUUAGCGGCGGACGGGUGAGUAACACGUGGAUAACCUACCUAUAAGACUGGGAUAACUUCGGGAAACCGGAGCUAAUACCGGAUAAUAUAUUGAACCGCAUGGUUCAAUAGUGAAAGACGGUUUUGCUGUCACUUAUAGAUGGAUCCGCGCCGCAUUAGCUAGUUGGUAAGGUAACGGCUUACCAAGGCAACGAUGCGUAGCCGACCUGAGAGGGUGAUCGGCCACACUGGAACUGAGACACGGUCCAGACUCCUACGGGAGGCAGCAGUAGGGAAUCUUCCGCAAUGGGCGAAAGCCUGACGGAGCAACGCCGCGUGAGUGAUGAAGGUCUUCGGAUCGUCAAACUCUGUUAUUAGGGAAGAACAAAUGUGUAAGUAACUAUGCACGUCUUGACGGUACCUAAUCAGAAAGCCACGGCUAACUACGUG